rnacentral:rRNA from 1 species
GCCUACGGCCUACUACCCUGAACACGUGCCCGAUCUCGUCUGAUCUCAGAAGCUAAGCAGGGUUGGGCCUGGUUAGUACUUGAAUGGGAAAAAUGAUUGAGGGCUAGGGUAGGGUGGCCA